CCUACGGGAGGCAGCAGUGAGGAAUAUUGGUCAAUGGUCGGGAGACUGAACCAGCCAAGCCGCGUGAGGGAGGAAGGUACAGAGUAUCGUAAACCUCUUUUGUCAGGGAACAAAGGCGGGGACGUGUCCCCGGAUGCGUGUACCUGAAGAAAAAGCAUCGGCUAACUCCGUGCCAGCAGCCGCGGUAAUACGGAGGGUGCGAGCGUUAUCCGGAUUUAUUGGGUUUAAAGGGUGCGUAGGCGGGCUGUUAAGUCAGCGGUCAAAGCCCGGGGCUCAACCCCGGCCCGCCGUUGAAACUGGCAGUCUCGAGUUGGAGAGAGGUAUGCGGAAUGCGCGGUGUAGCGGUGAAAUGCAUAGAUAUCGCGAAGAACCCCGAUUGCGAAGGCAGCAUGCCGGCUCCACACUGACGCUGAGGCACGAAAGCGUGGGUAUCGAACAGGAUUAGAUACCCGAGUAGUC
rnacentral:rRNA from 1 species